AGAAGACUAAGUUACUCUUGAUGAAGAGUAUUUUCUUAUGGUUCUUUUAGAAAUUAUUGCUAUUUAGUCGGAAUUUAGGAACAUGAUUUAAGAGUUUUAAGAUCUUUUGGUUUUAUUUUUACUUGGAUUUCAAAAACAUUAGUGCUAGAAUCCUAUAUGAUAUAUGUUACUAAUAUGAGCUGGCUCAUAUAGGAUUAUUUAUCUAAUUUUAUUUCUUUUGCACCUUGUGACUUGUGCUUAGGCUUCGG
rnacentral:misc_RNA from 1 species